rnacentral:rRNA from 1 species
AUUGAACGCUGGCGGCAGGCUUAACACAUGCAAGUCGAGCGAGCGGCGGACGGGUGAGUCAUGUCUGGGAAACUGCCUGAUGGCGGGGGAUAACUACUGGAAACGGUAGCUAAUACCGCAUACCAUCAGAUGUGCCCAGAUGGGAUUAGAUAGUAGGUGGGGUAAUGGCUCACAUAAGCGACAAUCCCUAGCUGGUCUGAGAGGAUGACCAGCCAAACUGGAACUGAGACACGUUCCAGACUCCUACGGUAGGACGCAGUGGGGAAUAUUGCACAAUUGGCGCAAGCCUGAUGCAGCCAUGCCGCGUGUGUGAAGAAGGCCUUCGGGUUGUAAAGCACUGUCAGCGAGGAGGCGUGACUCGCAGAAGAAGCACCGGCUAACUCCGUGCCAGCAGCCGCGGUAAUUC